UGGCUACAUCAUGUUGAAACACUAGUUCCAAUAUAAUCACUGAUGUUAAGCAACAUAGAGCUUGGUCAGUACCUAGAUGGGUGACUGCUUGGGAAUACCAGGUGCCAU